CCUACGGGAGGCAGCAGUGAGGAAUAUUGGUCAAUGGGCGGGAGCCUGAACCAGCCAAGCCGCGUGAGGGAAGAAGGUACAGCGUAUCGUAAACCUCUUUUGUCAGGUAACAAAGGCGGGGACUAGUCCCCGGAUGAGGGUACCUGAAUAAAAAGCAUCGGCUAAGUCCGUGCCAGUAGCCGCGGUAAUACGGGGGAUGCGAUGGUUAUCCGGAUGUAUUGGGUUUAAAGGUGGCGCAGGCGGCCUGUUAAGUCAGCGGUAAAAGCCCGGGGCUCAACCCCGGCGAGCCGUUGAAACUGGCGGGCGGGAGUUGGAGAGAAGUACGCGGAAUGCGCGGUGUAGCGGUGAAAUGCUUAGAUAUCGCGCAGAACCCCGAUUGCGAAGGCAGCGUACCGGCUCCACACUGACGCUGAGGCACGAAAGCGUGGGUAUCGAACAGGAUUAGAUACCCGAGUAGUC
rnacentral:rRNA from 1 species